rnacentral:rRNA from 1 species
GACGAACGCUGGCGGCGUGCUUAACACAUGCAAGUCGAACGGAAAGGCCCUGCUUUUGUGGGGUGCUCGAGUGGCGAACGGGUGAGUAACACGUGAGUAACCUGCCCUUGACUUUGGGAUAACUUCAGGAAACUGGGGCUAAUACCGGAUAGGAGCUCCUGCUGCAUGGUGGGGGUUGGAAAGUUUCGGCGGUUGGGGAUGGACUCGCGGCUUAUCAGCUUGUUGGUGGGGUAGUGGCUUACCAAGGCUUUGACGGGUAGCCGGCCUGAGGGGGUGACCGGCCACAUUGGGACUGAGAUACGGCCCAGACUCCUACGGGAGGCAGCAGUGGGGAAUAUUGCACAAUGGGCGGAAGCCUGAUGCGGCAACGCCGCGUGCGGGAUGACGGCCUUCGGGUUGUAAACCGCUUUCGCCUGUGACGAAGCGUGAGUGACGGUAAUGGGUAAAGAAGCACCGGCUAACUACGUG